rnacentral:rRNA from 1 species
UACGGAGGGUGCGAGCGUUGUCCGGAAUCACUGGGCGUAAAGGGCGCGUAGGUGGCGGCCCAAGUCAACGGUGAAAGCUCGGCGCUCAACGCCGAGUCGGCCGUCGAUACUGGGGCGCUUGAGCACUGUAGAGGCUAAUGGAAUUCCGGGUGUAGCGGUGGAAUGCGUAGAGAUCCGGAAGAACACCGGUGGCGAAGGCGGUUAGCUGGGCAGUAGCUGACACUGAGGCGCGACAGCGUGGGGAGCAAACAGG